rnacentral:misc_RNA from 1 species
CUCGCUGCAGACAUAUGACCUGUCAAAAGAUCCAAUAUAAGUGCCACAAUAUAGGGAGACUGAGAAUGGAAAGAAUAAAAAUUAUAUCUAAAGUUAAUAAUAUUAGCACCUCUACAGAUCUUUACAACAGGAAAUUCUCAAUAUAUGUGUUUUGUGAUAUUUAUCUUAUGUUAGAUGUCCUCCUUGACUGACACCAAAGUCUUUCAGAGAUACGUAUGCAUACACAUACAGAUACACAUCCAACAAGGGUAAAGGACAGAUGCAGAUUAGAUGCCUGUCUAUAAUUGGUUGAACACUUGCAAUUGUUUCUGUCCGUGUCCAAUGUUACAAGUCAACACCAGCAAAAGAGAUGCCACGUAUCUACAAACUUUAGCAAUGUGUCUAAAGUUCAGAUAGAGAUUGAUUAGGCCCAGAGGCAAAUCCUCAUAUUCCUAAAAGUCAAAAACCAACUGCACAUAUAACCAGCACCCCAGACUGAGCAAGUUAUGGAAAAAGUUAGCAGCCAUUUGAAUAUCCUUGCAUGGGCCACCAAAACUCAUAUGUAGCAUCUGCUUAACUUUACUACGUAAAGACAAAAUAAAGUUGAUUUUAACUUUCUGCUUUAGAGUGUUGG